rnacentral:tRNA from 1 species
CUCCUCGUAGUUCAAUGGAUAGAACGGGCGCCUCCUAAGCGCCAGAUACAGGUUCGAUUCCUGUCGAGGGGA